UGCACCUCAGGGAACGAGGAGGACUUUGGUGCAGCUUUCAGUCGCAGGAUUCUUUCUAUUAUCAGUCCGUGCUCAGUCUUGCAAGGGAAUACAUCAGCUCCUCGACUCACCUUACCGUUUGGGUUUAAGGCAGAAAUCCAGCCUGACUGAGUGCUUUCUCGGAGACAAGAGGCAGGAUUGCAAUGCCUUGCAUUUUCUUCAGCUUUAACUUGGUAUUGAGGAGACACCAUGGGAGGCAAGCUGAGCAAGAGGAAGAAGGGGUACGAUGUCAGCGACCCAAAGGACAAGAAGGAGGAGAUUACUGUGGCUGCUGUGAGUGCCGUUGAGGCCGUGGCCCAUGCCGUGGAGAGCAAAGCACCAGCUCCGGUCGCUGAGUUGGCAGCGAAGACUGCUCCUAAGGUGUCUGCUGAAGUGGAGGGAGCAGUGGAGUCGGCAGCGGUAGCCAUCACAGAAGCGACAGAAGAGGCCCUGUCAGCUAUAGAGGCAGUGGCCAAGGGGGCCACCGCAGAGCCAGCGGCUGUACCAGAUGAACCCGUGGCAGCACCUGGAGAACCAGCGCCAGCAGCAAAGGAACCAGUGGCUUCAGAAGAACCAGCUGCAGCACCAGAGGACCCAGCGUCAGCUGCAGCACCAGAAGAACCUGCAGCCCCAGAAAAGCCAGCGGUGGCACCGGAAGAACCUGCGCCAGCAGCAGAAGAACCAGUGGCUUCAGGAGAACCAGCUGCAGCACCAGAGGACCCAGCGCCAGCUGCAGCACCAGAAGAACCUUCAGCCUCAGAAGAGCCAGUGGCAGCACCGGAAGAACCUGCAGCAGUAGCAGAGGAACCAGCCGCAGCUCCAGAAGAGCUUGCAGCUCCAGAAGAGCCCGUGGCAGCACCGGAAGAACCUGCAGCAGCUGAGGAACCAGCAGCAUCACCAGAGGAACCUGCGGCAGCACCAGAGGAACCUGCGGCAGCACCAGAUAAAACAAAGGCACCGGAAGAACCAGCGGCACUAGAGGAACCAGCGGCUGCACCAAAAGAGCCUGCAGUGGAAGAGCCUGUACCAGAAGAGUCUGCAACAGCACCAAAAGAACCUGCACCAAAAGAGCCCGCAGUGGAAAAGCCUCCACCAGAAGAGCCUGCGGCAGCACCAAAAGAGCCUGCACCAGAAGAGCCUGAGGCAGCACCAAAAGAGCCUGCACCAGAAGAGCCUGAGGUAGCCUCUGUGGAGCUAGCUGCAGUACCAGAAAAGGCUUCUGAGGCUACAGAACAAGCCACAGAGGUGACAGCAGAGAUUACAGACACUACAGAACCAGAGCCUGCUGCUCCAGAGCCUGAAACAGAGACUGUUACAGGGAAGGCCCCAGAACCUGAGGCUGUGGUCGAGGCACCAGUAGAGGCAGAAGCAGCUUCAUCCGCCCCGGAGGAGGAGCCUGCAUCAGUUGCAGAAGCCGUGUCAGAGUCAGCCACAGAGGCAGCCGCAGAGCCAGAGGCAGAAUCCAUCCCACAACCAGCCGCUGAAGAGCUCCCCCUACCUAUAGAAGAAUCCGUAGCAGAGCUUGAAUCUGAAGCUGCUGAUGCAGUAACUGAAGCAGCAGAGCCUGAGGCUGCCGACAUUGCAGAACCCAUCCCGGAGAUCAUCAUUUCAGAAUCUGCUGCACCUGCGGCUGCAGAGGAGGCCAGCGCUGAGCAAGAGGAGGCUGUGCUGGACAACAAGGAAGUUGUUUCCGCAGUGGAGGCUACUGCUGAGCCUUCUGCCCCUGAGGUCAAUGGGGAGUGUCAGGAGCAGGCAGCCGAGCCGGCUGCCGUGUCUGCCCCGGAGCCACAGCAAAAGGAAUGUGUCAACGGCAUUGACAAGCCAGAGGAUGCCGUUGAAGUGCAAAGUGACUGCGAAUUAAAAAAGAACUUGAACCUGACUGGCGACAUCCAGAUUCCUGAGGCAAUCGGUGAGGCAAUAAGUCAGGCUGUAGACUUGGUCUGAAGCUAAUAUAAAUGUGAAGUCCCUAAUGAUCCGAAAAAAAACCUCCAACACAGGCUUCUGAAGAUAAAUAUAAAAAUGCCUGUUGUGGCAAAGGAGUUUCCGAUUAACCAAAAGGAAAUACAACCACUCAAGUGUAGAGAGGGGGAGUGAGAUACAUGUAGGAAGAGAUGUGAGACAUGGAUGCAGUGUGCCCCACUGAGUCUUUGUGCCCCAUAUGUCAUUGCAGAAGGGCAGCCUGUGUUUGCAGUAUUUGUGGUGAGAUGAAAGCCAGCGAAAUUUGAGGGAUGAGUAUAGGAAAACCGGAAACAAAACUGGACAACAGAGCAAAAAAUGUGACAUUGGAAAUGUUGAAUGGAAUGAAUAGUCUUGUCUUUGUGUGGGAGGCUGAUGAAUAUUAAAAAUGUUUUUUUGUAAUAGCAUUCAAUAAUGAUCUAAUUUAGACUUUCACAUAUCCUUUCCUUAACUAUACGAAAAAAUAAUGGAUGAAAAGUUUUGGCCUUUUAUAGUGGUGCAAACAGUGAGGAAUGUUCAUUAAUGGCUUGGAAUAGAC
rnacentral:lncRNA from 1 species